rnacentral:rRNA from 1 species
GGCGAACGCUGGCGGCGUGCCUAAUACAUGCAAGUUGAGCGCUGAAGGUUGGUACUUGUACCGACUGGAUGAGCAGCGAACGGGUGAGUAACGCGUGGGGAAUCUGCCUUUGAGCGGGGGACAACAUUUGGAAACGAAUGCUAAUACCGCAUAAAAACUUUAAACACAAGUUUUAAGUUUGAAAGAUGCAAUUGCAUCACUCAAAGAUGAUCCCGCGUUGUAUUAGCUAGUUGGUGAGGUAAAGGCUCACCAAGGCGAUGAUACAUAGCCGACCUGAGAGGGUGAUCGGCCACAUUGGGACUGAGACACGGCCCAAACUCCUACGGGAGGCAGCAGUAGGGAAUCUUCGGCAAUGGACGAAAGCCUGACCGAGCAACGCCGCGUGAGUGAAGAAGGUUUUCGGAUCGUAAAACUCUGUUGGUAGAGAAGAACGUUGGUGAGAGUGGAAAGCUCAUCAAGUGACGGUAACUACCCAGAAAGGGACGGCUAACUACGUG